UUCGGGGAGCUUGCACAGGUGCUGCAUUGGGCUGUCGUCAGCUCGUGUCGUGAGAUGUUCCGGUUAAGUCCGCUAACGAGCGCAACCCUCGUCGUGUGUUAUACGUGUCACACGAUACUGCCGGUAUCAAGCCGGAGGAAGGUGGGGAUGAUGUCAAGUCAGCAUGGCCUUUAUAUCCUGGGCUACACACACGCUACAAUGGCAGAUACAAUAGGUUGCGAAACCGCGAGGUGGAGCCAAUCCUCAAAGUCUGUCUCAGUUCAGAUUGUAGGCUGCAACUCGCCUGCAUGAAGUUGGAGUUGCUAGUAAACGCAGGUCAGCUAUACUGCGUUGAAUACGUUCCCGGGUUU
rnacentral:rRNA from 1 species